CUUGUUGCUGCCUUCAGGCUCAUUUGGAGGACAGAAAAAAAGCUCCAUCAUUCGGAAUUCCGGUCACACUUUCUCCAUAAAUGGAUUCUCCGUUCCUGCACCUGCUGCCUGGACACCUCAACCCUCACCAGCAUACCCCUGCCUAGACCCACAGAGAGAAUUACUACACGCCAGCCCAGCGCAUCCCACGACGGACACCGCCGCCCUUCCUUCCGCGUCCUCUUCCAGAGAAUUCGCCAGCCGGUGCCCCGGUUCGAGCGUCUCCUAUGUAGAAGACUCAAAUUACCUGUAAGAAUCAAAGAGGAUUCCCCGGCACAAAGGAGUUAGGUUUCAAGCCCUGUCGGCACAAGCAUACACAGUUCUGAGUGAGCUCCUCAGCCCUUUUGGCUUCGCUUUUUGUUCAGCCUCUGAGUAGUUAUUCCAAGCCCUUUUGGCUUUGCUUUUUGUUAACCUCUGAGUUAGUUAAUCCAAGCCCUUUUGGCUCUGCUUUUUGUAACCACUGAGUAAGUUUUUCCAGGCCCCUUUUGGCUUUGUUUUCAGUUAAAAGCACCAUCAGUCGAAGUAGUUUCGGCCACCGUAGUUUAGUAGUUGUCGUCUAGCUGUUAGCCUGCAUUUAGCUAAUCAUAUCUGUUGUAAAUACGUUUCUGGCAUUAAAAGCCCCUUUAAAAAUGCA